AUACGGAGGAUCCGAGCGUUAUCUGGAUUUAUUGGGUUUAAAGGGUGCGCAGGCGGCCAUUUAAGUCAGCGGUUAAAUCGUGGGGCUCAACCCCAUUCUGCCGUUGAUACUGGGUGGCUUGAUUGCGGUCGAGGUUGGCGGAAUUCGUUGUGUAGCGGUGAAAUGCAUAGAUAUGACGAAGAACACCGAUUGCGUAGGCAGCUGACCAGACCGCAAAUGACGCUCAUGCGCGAAAGCCAGGGGAGCAAACGGGAUUAGAUACCCUGGUAGUCCGCACAGUAAACGAUGAAUACUUGUUUUCGGCGAUAUAAUGUCGGAGGCAAAGCGAAAGCGAUAAGUAUUCCACCUGGGGAGUACGCCGGCAACGGUGAAACUCAAAUGAAUUGACGGGG
rnacentral:rRNA from 1 species